rnacentral:rRNA from 1 species
GAGGAACGCUGGCGGCGUGCUUAACACAUGCAAGUCGAACGAUGAAGCCCAGCUUGCUGGGUGGAUUAGUGGCGAACGGGUGAGUAACACGUGAGUAACCUGCCCUUGACUCUGGGAUAAGCCUGGGAAACUGGGUCUAAUACUGGAUAUGACUUCUCAUCGCAUGGUGGGGGUGGAAAGAUUUAUUGGUCUUGGAUGGACUCGCGGCCUAUCAGCUUGUUGGUGAGGUAAUGGCUCACCAAGGCGACGACGGGUAGCCGGCCUGAGAGGGUGACCGGCCACACUGGGACUGAGACACGGCCCAGACUCCUACGGGAGGCAGCAGUGGGGAAUAUUGACCACUGGGCGCAAGCCUGAUGCAGCGACGCCGCGUGAGGGAUGACGGCCUUCGGGUUGUAAACCUCUUUCAGUAGGGAAGAAGCGAGAGUGCCGGUCCCUGCAGAAGAAGCGCCGGCUCCCUACGUG